rnacentral:rRNA from 1 species
AUGGCAGUGGGGUCGUCCUCAUCAUCAACGAUACAUGCGGCAGGAGCAGCAACUGCUGCUGCUUCCGAAGGUGAAGAAGAAGAUAAUGACGAUCAACUCGUGGUGGCUAUGGCGGCGACCGAUAGUUCUGUUCCGAGAGGGGCAUUUUUUCAGCCUCGUACGCCAGAGGACCACGUUAUGGUGAAGCUAGCAGAAUGGAUAAGGAAUCUUGCACAAUGCGACACAGCUAAUGGGAAGCCAAUACCAUCGGUUACUGUAGUGGCAUCGGGUAACCAAGAAACCAGUGAUAUUGCAGAUAAAGCACUGGAUUUGUGGGGAGAACAUAGCCGGUACAGACGCACGCGCAGUGUCCUGGUCGACAUCACAGCAGUGCACUUCUAUUCUCGAUUGCUACGAGCACAGGACAUUCUCUACUACAUCCUGCGGGAGCUCGAAAAACAGGAAAGUGAACUGGGAAAGAGACAGGAAAAGGAAUUGGAAAAACAGGAAAUUCAACACAUCGGAGAGGAGGGGAACGAUACAUGGAAAAGACACCAUGGUGUUGAAUCGGAGAAGGAUAUUUGGAGGAGAAAACGUGGUGAAAAACUAGAGAACAAUAUGGAAGACCAAGUACCCACAGAGCCAAUUCGUCUAAAGGAAGACCAAGCACCCGAAGAGCCAAUUCUUCUGGCGGAAGACCAUUAUGAACAAAUCCUACGGGAGGUGUUCCCCCCGGGGACUAAGAACCCGCAGGAGCUGCAGGAAGAAAAAUCCAUCGGGACACUAGAUAUAACUAAGCUGCAAGAGAAAAGUUCUGUGAAGAAACUACAUACAGCUGCCGAUAAACUUGUUGAAGAUACCCUGGAGAAGAUUAAACAAAUAAACAGGAAGAUAUAUCAACAGCUCAAGAUCAAAGGGAUCAUGGACAAAAUUACAGACUGUUUGAAGAGAAAAGGUGAUGACAAGCUCUUUGUAAUCCUCAAACUUGAUGAAGACUAUGUAUCCGGAUGGGAGGAGACAAAAAAUGCUUUUAGCAUGUCUGGCAGCAUAGUCGGUGCACUGAUGUUGACCCUCGAAGAAAACAGAGAUCUUGCCAAAGAUUAUUGUUUUCCACAGCAGGAGCCUAUAGACUAUUCUGUUCGUGGCCUCUACCGUGAUAUCGUACUGGAGCUUGCAAACAAGCACAUGAAAGAGGAUAGCACCAAGACUCUUCUUGACAUCUUGGACAAGUGUAAGCAACAUGAAUUCUGCAUGAAGAUCUUCGUUCAUGCAUUGCACGCCAACCCCAAGAGGAGCAAGAAAGAGCUAAGCAUGUUGGACAGCACCCUGCAGCAGGUUUCAGACAACUCAAUGGACAACAUUGCUAACAAGAUGUUCAAGUUCUCUUAUAGGGAUCUGCCUAAUGAAUACAAGUCAUGCUUGUUGUACCUAGCAAUUUUCCCUAGACGACAACCCAUCAGGCGGUCAACCUUGAUAGGACAGUGGGUUGUAGAAGGGCUGAUAACCAAGGAAGACUGGGCCAGAAAGAUUAAGAGCUGUUUGAUUGGUGAUCGAGUUCAUGCAUUCAUUACCAAGAUUGCUAGAAAAAGGCACAUUGUGGAAAAACGCCUGUCACAUUACUUGGCUCGCUACUUCUCCAUUUUCCACAAUCUCCGACUCCAUGGCUCUGACAAAAUCGACAGAUUCUUCCAAAAGCUCUAUGAAGAAUCAUCUCGAGUAUCUCUGAUCAAGGUGUUAGAUCUCGACAGUUGCCAGUGCUUUGGAGGGAGGAACCAAAGCUACCUCAAGGACAUAUGCAACACAAUGUUACUGCUCAAGUAUCUGAGCCUAAGGGGAACAAAUGUUAAACAUCUUCCUAGUGAAAUCAACAACCUCUGUGAGUUGGAAGUAUUGGAUAUCCGGGAGACCAGUGUGCGAGAAUCUGCAACAACAAAUGUCAUACUCCUGAAGCUGAAGCGUUUGUUGGCUGGUCGAGUUAAUCAAAGUUCAGGGCUAAGCAGAACUAAAAUAUCUAGUGUCAAGGUUCCUGACAAGGUCGAACAAAUGGUAAACUUCGAGGUAUUGUCCAAUGUCCAGCCACGGAAUAAUCAAGAUCUAAAAGAUAUUGGAAAGUUGUGGCAGCUUAGGAAGCUCGGUGUUGUCAUUGGGCACAAGGAGAAACACCUCAGGUAUUUGCUUGGAACUAUCAGUGACCUGCAUGACUGCCUCCAGUCUUUGUCAAACACACUUCUUUCCAAGAUUCCGAAAAGCCCUCCCAAGACUCCGAAAAACCCGCCAGAAAGUCCGAAAAGCGUUCCCGAGACUCCGAAAAGCCCUCCCGAGACUCGUAAAAACCAUCCCGAGACUCCGAAGAGCCCUCCCGAGACACCUAAAAACCAUCCCGAGACUCUGAAAAACACUCUCAAGACUCCGGAAAGCCCUACCUGUGAAGACCUUCCAGAGGUUAUUCUUCGUGACUGGAAACAACCUCCCAAGCUUCUUGAGAGUCUAAGCAUUACUGGAACCACACAAAGGGGGCAACUUCUUCGACAGUUGACCAAAGACGACGGAGAACUCAAACUAGCGAAGGUAACUUUACCUAGAAACAAGCUAAAGCAGGCUGAUCUGAAGGUCCUUGCCAACCUGCCCAAGAUGGUCUGUCUUAGGCUCUGUGAUGAGGCAUACACGGAUAGCAAGCUCACCUUCAGCAAGGAAGAUUUCAAAAUUCUCAAGUGCUUUCUUGUUGAAGGCUCCAACAUGACUGACAUCAGCUUUGAAGGCGAAGCUUCGAAACUCGAGAAGAUUGUUCUGUCCUCCACCAGUGGCCUAGAAUCUCUUUCUGGAGUCGAAUACCUAGAGGAACUUAGGGAAGUCGAGUUGAAGAACAGCAAUAAGAUUUCAUUAUUUAACAAGGCCAAAAACAUAUCCAACGUGACUUGUUGUCAUACCAAGCUGAGUCAAGAUGAGGUACAAAUUCUCGUCAAGAUACCAAGAAUGCACUGCUUAGUACUCAAGGAGAACUCUUAUCCCGAUCCCGACAAUCAUCUUAUUUUAAACAAAGACAGCUUCCCAUGGCUCAAUGUUCUUAUUGUCGACUUUUCCGUCACCACCAAGAUCAGCUUCAAUGAUGGAUCUGCUCGUAAGCUCGAGAAAAUUGUCUUCUCCUUCACCAAGGAGAAUUUCGAUAAAGCCUUCACCAAGGACAUGGUGGGUACUCUCUCCGUCUCCGGCACUGAGACCCUUCCAAAACUGAAGGAGGUCGAGUUCAAUGGUGAUUUGGAUCCGACUGAGGUGAGCGGAGCAUUGAAAAAAAAUGAGAACAAACCUGUGUUUACAUACAACAAACCAGAAAAACAAUACCAAGAAGCAGGAAAGAUAGAAGAAAAGAAUGAUGCUCGAAGAUUUGCAUCAUUCUGGAAGAGAGGGGAUUGA